rnacentral:lncRNA from 1 species
UUAUUUUAUAGGCUUAAUUUCAUAAAGAUUCUUAUAAAUAUAGUAAAUUAGAAAUAUAUAUUUUUUUUUAUAAAGUUUAACUUUCAUAUAUUGUUUUUAUAAGGGUGCGUUUGGUUCGCGCUAUCUUUUAAAGAUUCCUAGUAAUCCAAUGGGAAUAAAAAAUUAUGACGGUGUUUGAUUAAACGCACUAAGUAAUCUAGUUGGUAAUAUUGGAUUCACUUGGAAAUAAGAUUCACCCCAAAGUACUAAUCUCAUUCCCUUGAGGGAGGGUGGGUAUCUCAUAUUAAUGAAUUGGGGUAAUCAUAAUAUGUCUAAUCUCUUUCUUUCUUCCUACCCGCCGGCUAAUUGAUAUUAUUUGUCUUUACACUCUAAUUUUAUAUCUCUCUCUAUACUUAUUUUUCUCUCUAAAAUUCAACUUUUUUUUUUCUCUCUCUAAGCUAAGCUUUCUCUCUCUCUCUCUCUUUCUAAAAUUUCAACUCUCUCACUCCCUCUAAUUUUGACUAUAUUUUUCUUUCUAUUUUUUUAAUUAUGCUCUCUCUCUCUAACUUAUACUCUCUCUCCCUUUUUUGGUAACAUUAUCUAAAAUUAAUUAAAUAAAUAAAUCAAUUAAUUGUAUAUUUUUUGUAAUAUUAAAUAACAUGGCUAAUUAAUAUUACCGUGCGAACCAAACAUAGGAAUUCCACAUUCUUAGUAAUAGGAUGAAUAGGAAUAUGAUUCUCGGAUAUCUUUUAUUCCUAGUAAUCUUUCAUAAUGCGAACCAAACGCACCCUAAAAGUCAUGAUGUUUUCAAAUAUAUCUCUCUGAUUUGUUGCCGUUAAAGUACUGUCUAUUUUUUAACAGCAGGUAAGUGAAAUGACCUUUUUGAGUUUUUGUCAUUACAAAUAUAUCUAUCUAAAAGCAACAACAGUUAUAAUCGUACAAAAAUGUCCCUUUAAAAAUUUUCAAUGGUCAUCUUUUGCGUCAUUUUCUUUCUUUUUUAAAAUUCAACUCAUUCCACCGUUAUUGCAACAUUUUCCCCACACAUUUUCUUCUAUAUCUUUUCUUUUGAGUAAAAAAUAAAAUAAAAUUAUAAAGCAAAUUGAAUGAAAAAGCAACAUGCGUUCGAUACAAGCGAAGCAACACCCGUCGUGUAUUAAUGGAGAUGGGUUUAAAACUAGCAUGAAGAAGAGAGAGGAAGAGAAAAAGAAAAAAGAAGAAGCGUUUCCAUUAAUACAAUUUUGAUUGAGAGAAAAAAAAU